CCCUCCUCUGAGCCCCCCCACUGGUGACUCUGAGGGGGCUCAGAUGCCCGCAGACAUUGGCUUCUAAUGUCCCUGCCCCAGAGGCCACAGGUGGGACCCAGGGAGCCCACCUCCCUCCCCAGCUCUUCCUGAAUAAAGCCGCUUCUCCCUCUGGCAA